rnacentral:lncRNA from 1 species
GAAAAAACAAUUUUGUUUUUCCUAAAGGAAAAAAUGAGAAAAAUGGUAAUGAUUGGAUUAAGAGGAGAGAAAGAAAAUUUCCAAGAUGUGUAUAGAGUUAUCUAUGAAUGGUGAGCUGGCAGAGGCUUUAAAUGUUUUGUUUUUUUAAACACGAUUUUAUAAUUUAAAAUUUUCUAGGGACUGGCUCCGUGGCCAAGUGGUUAAAUUCACAUGCUCUGCUUUGGUGGCCCGGGUUUCGCUGGUUCGGAUCCUGGGCGCAGACCUGGCACUGCUCAGCUCAUCAGGCCACACUGAGGUGGCGUCCCACAUAGCACAACUAGAAGGACCUACAGCUAGGAUAUACAACUUAUGUAAUGGGGGGCUUUGGGGAGAAGAAGAAAAAAAAGGAAGAUUGGCAACAGAUGUUAGCUCAGGGCCAAUCUUCCAAAAAAAAAAAAAAAAACUGACCAGCGUAAAAUGUCAAAAGAAAUUUCUAUAAGCAUAAACCAUUUUUAUAAUCAGAAAACACAAAUUAAUAUUUUUAAUUUACUUUAAUUAAUACUUUUAAACAGUAGACCCAGCAUUGGAGGUUUGUGGGGUUCCAAGAUGGAAGCUCCAGGCUGUCUGCUUGGCCAGCCCCCAGCCCUCUUACGGAUGUUGACCUUUUACCAGCGGGUAUUGAUUCCUAUGACUAGAGUUUGCCUGUGAACUCAGCAGCUGCUCUUGGAGAAGGAACAUGUCCAGGCUUGGUAAGCAUUCAUGCCUUCCAGUGGCAGAGACUGUAAGAUUCUUCGUUGGGAGCAAUCUUGAGCCUGGCGUGUCAGCAGUGCUCGGCAGGCAUCUGUUCCCUCGUGAUCAACACAUGCACGAGGGAAGACAUUCUCACCUAGAAGGAACAUCGGCUGGUUUGGUUGAAGCGGGUAGCAGAGGAACACUGGGUGCUCCCUCUUCAGCAGCCAUCCAUCUCCCCUGCUGGGUGGCGCCACAUUUGGUUUGGUGGGCUGACCCCAUCCUUGCUCCAGGGUGGACCUUAAGUGACUAA